GACAACGCUGGCGGCGUGGAUUAGGCAUGCAAGUCGAACGGUAUCAUCCUUUCGGGGGUGAGAGAGUGGCGAACUGGUGAGUAACACGUAGGUUAUCUACCCUCAAGACGGGGGACAACCCAGGGAAACUUGGGCUAAUACCGGAUGUGAGCAACUUUUAGUUGUUUGAAAGGUGGCGUAAGCUGUCGCUUGGGGAUGAGCCUGCGUCCUAUUAGUUAGUUGGUGAGGUAACGGCUCACCUAGGCAAUGAUAGGUAGGCGGCCUUAACGGGUGGUCGCCCACACUGGGAUUGAGAUACGGCCCAGACUCCUACGGGAGGCAGCAGUCGAGAAUAGUCUACAAUGGUCGGAAGACUGAUAGUGCGACGCCGCGUGAACGAUGAAUCCCUUCGGGGUGUAAAGUUCUUUUAUAUGUGAGCAGUGCUUCUUAUAUUAACAGUAUGGGGAGAGAGAUAUUAGCAUAUGAAUAAGCAACGGCUAACUCCGUG
rnacentral:rRNA from 1 species